ensembl:lncRNA
AGCAGCAGUUUGGACCAGAAAAUAUAAGCAGAAACUGGGAAAAUUAGCAUUUAGAAACAGAAGGCCAAGUCAAGUCAAGUGGCCUGAUUGGAAUGUGCAAAUUAAUACAGAGAUGAGCCACAAACAUUCUGGAACCAAAAUUAACCUUUACCAAAGUGAUGGAAAAGCCAAAGUGUGGAGAACGAAAGGAUCUACUCUAUGAUCAAAACAUACAAGCUCAUCUGUGAAACAUGGUGGAGAGAAAUGCAUCCAAUCUAAUUGGGAGGAACUUCAUCAUGAAUCAGCAAAGGACUUCAUCAGGCAAAAAGUAGAAGGUUUUAGACUGACCAAGUCAAUCACCAGAUCUUAAUCAAAUUGGGCAUCAAUCAUUUCUCCCUCUGAAGAGGAGACUGAAGGGAGAACAGCCCCCCGCCCCCCAAAAACAAAAACAAUAACGACAACAAAAGACAAACAAACAAACGACUGUGCUAAAAGCAUGGAAAAGCACCACAAAAGAAAAAUGCCACAGUUUGGUGAUGUCAGUGGUUCGCCAAUUUGAUGCAGUUAUUGCAAACAAAUGACAUGCAACCAAAUAUUAAGGCUUUAUCUUGAUCCUGUUCUUGGUCCCUGACUUAUUGAACUAGCAUGAGGAAAUGUUUGACUACAAAGCACUUCUAUGAGCUGCUUGGGAUAAGGGUGUCUGACUUCUUGGAGGAUAAACAUCAUACUUUUUGCUCCAUCCAAUGCUGUACAGUGACAUUUUGGUACACUUAUAGCCUGUACACAAGUGUAUGUGUUUAUAUUCUGUCCCAAGUUGCACCUGAUCUAUAUUCUGUGU